GCCGAACGCGGUGGCGUGGGCCUUAUAGUCACAGCUACUCAGGAGGCUGAGAUGGGAGGAUCACUUGAGCCUAGGAGUUCUGGGCUGCAGUGCACUAUGCCAAUGGGUGUCUACACUAAGUUCGGCAUCAAUAUGGUGACCUCCUGGGAGCCGGGGACCAUCAGGUUGCCUAAGGAGGGGUAAACCGACCCAGGUCGGAAACAGAGCAGUUCAAAACUCCUGUGCUGAUCAGUAGUGGCACUGCGCUAUGAAUAGCCACUGCACUCCACCCUGGGCAACAUAGGGAGACCCCGUCUCA
rnacentral:SRP_RNA from 1 species